UACGUAGGGUGCGAGCGUUGUCCGGAAUUAUUGGGCGUAAAGAGCUCGUAGGCGGUCUGUCGCGUCGGUCGUGAAAACUUGGGGCUUAACCCUGAGCUUGCGGUCGAUACUGCCGUGCUUGAGGACUGGAGAGGAGACUGGAAUUUACGGUGUAGCAGUGAAAUGCGUAGAGAUCGUAAGGAAGACCAGUGGCGAAGGCGGGUCUCUGGACAGUUCCUGACACUGAGGCACGAAGGCCAGGGGAGCAAACGGG
rnacentral:rRNA from 1 species